AGGAUGAACGCUGGCGGCGUGCCUAACACAUGCAAGUCGAACGUCCUGUCUCGCAAGAGGCAGGGAGUGGCGGACGGGUGAGUACCACGUGGGUGAUCUACCGUGAGGUGAGGAAUACCGGCGAGAAAUCGCCGACAAGACCGCAUAGCCUCGGUGCAAGCCGAGGAAAGCUUUCUCGAGAGAGGGAGCGCCACACGAGGAGCCUGCGCCCGAUUAGCUAGCUGGUGGAGUAACGGUUCACCAGGGCGACGAUCGGUAGCUGGUCUGAGAGGACGAUCAGCCACACUGGGAUUGAGAACGGCCCAGACUCCUACGGGGGGCAGCAGUGAGGAAUUUUCGUCAAUGGGGCAACCCUGAACGAGCAACGCCGCGUGCAGGAAGAAGGUUUUCGGAUCGUAAACUGCUUUUCUCGGGGACGAGCAAGGACGGUACCCGAGGAACGAAGCCCCGGCUAACUACGUGCCAGCAGCCGCGGUAA
rnacentral:rRNA from 1 species